rnacentral:lncRNA from 1 species
GACAGCAGAAAUAGCUUCGGAGUUGGUCACGUUCAGUGCAGAUGUACCCUUACAUCUCACCUGUAUGCCAUACCAGUGUCUCCACAUUCCUUGGUUAAGAGGACAACCAACCCAUAUGGAACACAAUGACCUAUGCUUGAUAAAUAUUAUCGUCCUUGGUAACAACGUAUCAUUUGGUCACGAACAGGUUUAAGGACUAAACGACAAAUCCUCUUUUGUCGAGUCUAAAUAGUCCUAAGGACUUCACCACAACACAGGAGUUCAUUAGAAGAUGAAAUAAUUUGUGAUGAAAAUUAUCAAA